CCUACGGGUGGCAGCAGUAGGGAAUAUUGCUCAAUGGGGGAAACCCUGAAGCAGCAACGCCGCGUGGAGGAUGAAGGUUUUAGGAGUGUUAACUCCUUUUGUGAGAGAAGAGAAUGACGGUAUCUCUCGAAUAAGCACUGGCUAAUCCCGUGCCAGCAGCCGCGGUAAUACGGAGGUUGCAAGCGUUAAUCGGAAUUACUGGGCGUAAAGAGGGCGCAGGCGGGCGUGUAAGUCAGUUGUGAAAUCCUGUAGCUUAACUACAGAACUGCAUUUGAAACUAUGAGUCUAGAGUGUGGGAGAGGUAGGUGGAAUUCUUGGUGUAGGGGUCAAAUCCGUAGAUAUCAAGAGGAAUACUCAUUGCGAAGGCGACCUACUGGAACAUUACUGACGCUCAUGCACGAAAGCGUGGGGAGCAAACAGGAUUAGAUACCCCGGUAGUC
rnacentral:rRNA from 1 species